GACGAACGCUGGCGGCGUGCUUAACACAUGCAAGUCGAACGGAAAGGCCCUGCUUUUGUGGUGUGCUCGAGUGGCGAACGGGUGAGUAACACGUGAGUAACCUGCUCUUGACUUUGGGAUAACUUCAGGAAACUGGGGCUAAUACCGGAUAGGAGCUCCUGCUGCAUGGUGGGGGUUGGAAAGUUUCGGCGGUUGGGGAUGGACUCGCGGCUUAUCAGCUUGUUGGUUGGGUAGUGGCUUACCAAGGCUGUGACGGGUAGCCGGCCUGAGAGGGUGACCGGCCACAUUAGGACUGCGAUACGGACCAGACUCCUACGGGAGGCAACAGUGGGGAAUAUUGCACAAUGGGCGGAAGCCUGAUGCAGAGACGCCGCGUGCGGGAUGACGGCCUUCGGGUUGUAAACCGCUUUCGCCUGUGACGAAGCGUGAGUGACGGUAAUGAGUAAAGAAGCACCGGCUAACUACGUG
rnacentral:rRNA from 1 species